rnacentral:siRNA from 1 species
UGUCCGUUUUCUUCCAUCCGGU